AAAAGAGAUAUUGAGUUUGGGAAAAAAACGAUGUCGCCUUCACAUUAUACGACAGAAACUGCAUGAAACCGCCCAUUCUUCUUUUCUUCUUAGUGUGUUACGCAAGCGCGAUUGUCUGAAAUAAACGGAGGCCCUCGCGUGAGUAAGUCAGCAGCGAGUCCUGAUUGGUCAGAGCAUUUUAAUUUGCAUAACAGUCAAACGUGUCUGUCUGGAAUGUCUGGAGCUUUCGGAGCAGACACGUACACACUUCUGCGUCCAAGUCCAAGCAAGAGAGUUAUAUCUAUCUCUUUGUCUUCGGGAAAGGGACUCACUACCGCCAAUAUUCACAAGGUUGACACCAGUGUUCGCCUUCCUGCUCAUGAUUUCCACCUGCCUGAUGGAGUACAUGGGGUCUGGACCGUGGUGGGCUAUCCGUGACAACUGGACCAUGUCUACGGUCCAAGUCUGCCGGGAGUACUGGUGGGCAAACCUGCUCUACAUCAACAACUUUAUCGGACAAGAUUGUUUUCUGCAUAGCUGGUACCUUGGUGCGGACAUGCAGCUGUACGUAACACUUACAGGGCUGCUCGUAGUGCUUUACAGGUACCCAAAAGUUGGAGUUGCAGUUGCCUGUUUCUUGAUCGGAUCCAUUUGGCUUCUGCAUGGAGUGUCGUACUAUUUCAUGGUCGAGUAAGUAUUUAGGAUAUUUUAAAUAGCAUCUCAAAUACGCAAACUUUCUAUCUCUCUCUUUAUGUACAUAUAAAACAUUUUUC